CGCGCGCACGCGGCGCCCCCGCCCUCGCGUCGCGCGGCUGAAGGAGGGCGGGCGCGGCGCGCGCACGUACGCACGGACGUCCUCCUGAGGGAGGCGGGAACUUGGGCCGCGGGCGGGGAGUCGUCCCCGCCCCCCGCCUGACCUCCGGCCGCAGCGUGUAUGUCCGCGCCGCGGCAGCUCUGCUAGCUGCGAGCGUUUAAAGCCAGUGGCGGUGGACGCAGAAACGCCUUUGGCCGGCGCCGGUUAUGAGCUCGGACGCGGCGCUGGUGCGGGGAGAAAUGCGGGAAAGGGUGAAUAGGAGGCCGGCACCAGUCCCUUCGCAGCUAGCGUCUCCCGGGCGGCGCCGUCCCCAGAGGCGGGCGCGUCUCGGCGCAAACCUCACUUGCUGUACAUGUAGCACGCCAGGGUCUGCUGGCUCUGAGAUGCGGUCCUCCUCGGGCUCGGUGCCUUAACCAGCUGCGUUCCUUUGGGUGAUCGUGUCUCAGGGGAGCCGCGAAACGGGGCGCUUUUUUUUUUUUUUUUAACUGGAGGCCGGCCAGAAAUAGGCUGAAAAGACCCCGGGAGGAAGAAACUCUUCAACAGCUAUCUUUAGCUUCUUAAGGUGAUUGAUUCUCAGAUGUCUACGUUUCAGAAAACCAACUGAGGAGCUUUUUCAAAGCAGAGAUGCCAUGGCCACACCCCAGACCUACAUCAGGAAGUGGGGGCAGAGGGCUGAUGGAUGUUGAAAAGUCGCUUCGGCGGAUUCCGAUGUGCGUCAGUUUGAGGAGCCACCACCGAUCUACCCAGGGUUGUGUCCUGAGAGUCCCAUGUAGUGUCCCGGCGCGAGUUGCGUUCCAAAUGCCCUAAUGAUAUCGAUGAUAGAAGCUUUCAGAAAGGUUUGUCUCUGUUUGAAAACAAGUACCCGAGAUGUUUAUGCAGUGCAAGCGGCUGUUUUAAUGUUAGGAUCACGAAGUGCUUUCGUCUUCUGACAGUGUUCCCAAGGAACUGGUAUUCUCUGAGCUCGCACAAGGCCUUAAAAAUAAGCCGCCUCAAAACAUUUGUCAUUUACUCGCUCACAGAUACCGACCUCUUACUGUGUAGUAGGGGAGUGUUUUAGACAUCACAGCAGAAAGCCAAGAUCUUUGCCUUGGAGGAGUUUGCAAUCUAACGGAGGAAGAUUGACAAUAAAUAUAUGCCAGGGAGUGAUAAAUACCAUGAAGACAAAAUAAGCAGAGUAGAAGAAAUCAGAAAUGACUGGGGAAGGCCUCUGUUGGUAGAUGAACAAGACUUGUGGCUCUCUUGCAGAAGAGUAUUCCAGGCAGAAGAACACAAAUCACAAUAAACUCAACGCUGCAUUACAGCUCGACGUGGGAUAAGGAGACCCUGGAACCCAAAGAACAGCGGUGAGAUUACAGGAGGCUGUAAGCAGAUGUGCCGCAAAGAUUUUCUCCUGAAUCAGGAAGUCAUCUUUUAUACUCGUCAAUUCCUUACAAGUGGAGGGUUAGAACACAACUCUGGAGCUACACUACUGGAGCAAACACCUGGAUGACUUUCUAGCUAUAGAACUUCGACAAGUUUCUUCAUCAGCACCCACUAUAAGUCUGUGUACGGGAAUGGCAGUACCUACUUCCUAGGGUUUCUGUGAGGAUCAAAUGAUUUUUGUAUUCACGUCAGUUCACCUACCUCAAGUGCUUAGAACGGGGGUCCAAGCUUCAUGAAAUUGCUACCUCUGAUGAUGAUAACGACGGACGACACAGAUGGACACUGUAUUUCACAAGUCUUGCAUGGCAAUCAAAAAUCUGUUUAGAACUAACCCUUUAUUUGAAACUAUAUAAACCAAAAGUUUCCAACUGAUUGUACAUGUUAAAAACUUUCUAUAAAUAUCUCUUGGAUACAAAAUUUGGUCCAGUCGUUCAAAAUUAAUUCUAUAAUAUUAUUCUAAAGUCAUACUUAUUUUGAAAGCCUAAAGUUGUUUUUUUAUGGCAAAAACAAAACAAAAAACCCACCAAGCUGAAAGCUUUUAUUCUGCUAAAACGUACAAAUAUAACAGUCCACACUCUACAGUAAACAUUUAACCACUGAUAUUUCCUUAAGAUGCUGUUCUCCUUCACAGCUCAGAUGCCUGAUUUCCUGUGAAAGCCCAGUCUGCCUUCCUUUCUACCCAUCAAAUUCAUCUGUCUCUUUAGAAGUCUUGCCGGAUGUUUUCUUUGUUUGCCUCUCCAUGUUGCUGCUUCAUUUGAAAGAUUUCAUUUUCUAAUUGCACGAUAGUCCUUUCGAUCUCAUAAUUCUUGCUGACGAGGGAUACCCAACUAAACGAGUUAAAAAAAAAAAAAAGGAAAAACUACUUAAUAUAGAAUUUUUCUUAGAAGAUUUUAUCAUAUACGUUUUCUUUCAGGGUCAUAUUGUGAACCACUUUAACUUUCCAUUUUAAAAAACUAAGGCACAACUGGGGGAAAGUGGAUAAAGGGUACAUAAAGUCUAGCUGUAAUAUUUCUUACAACUGAAUGUGAAUCUACGAUUAUUUCAAAAUAAAAAUUUUUAAAGCAAA